rnacentral:rRNA from 1 species
AUACGGAGGAUGCGAGCGUUAUCCGGAUUUAUUGGGUUUAAAGGGUGCGUAGGCGGCUGUUCAAGUCAGCGGUGAAAUGCAAGGGCCCAACCCUUGACGUGCCGUUGAAACUGAGUGGCUAGAAUGCGGAUGCUGUGGGAGGAAUGUGUAGUGUAGCGGUGAAAUGCAUAGAUAUUACACAGAACACCGAUUGCGAAGGCAUCUCAGAAAUCCGCAAUUGACGCUGAGGCACGAAAGUGCGGGGAUCAAACAGGAUUAGAUACCCUGGUAGUCCGCACAGUAAACGAUGAUAACUCGCUGUCGGCGAUAGACAGUCGGUGGCCAAGCGAAAGCGAUAAGUUAUCCACCUGGGGAGUACGACCGCAAGGUUGAAACUCAAAUGAAUUGACGGGG